CAUGUUUUAAUUAAGCUCCAAGUUUGCAGAUAAAUUGUUCACUGAUCAUAGUGGUGACACCAAGAAAGCUGAUAUAGAGAAGUCAAAGCAACUUGAGCUAGAAGUGAAAACAUUGGAUGCUGAAAUUUGCAACAAGAUGCAGAAUCUGAGUCAAAUGUCUGCAUGUUGGAAACUGAUGGUGUGGAAAUCUUUCCAAAACAACAUGGAGUUGCUAGAUGCUCGAAAACAAGUGAUGGAGGGGUUUUUAGAGUAUAUGCCAAGCACAAACUCGGUUAUUGGGAUCAAAAUGAUGGGACAGCUGGCUGAAGACACUUUCCUAGCUGCUAUGCAGAGGAACUAUCCAAAUCAAGAUGCCGAGGCUGGUGCUG